rnacentral:lncRNA from 1 species
AUUUAACUGAAUGAAAGACAAUGCACAAUUUAAUAGUGUCACAGUCAUUUGUGGUACUUAUAAAAAUAAUGUGUGAUCUCUUCUCCCCUUUCUUCUACAUCUAAAAAUUAGCAGCACUUUGAUAAUAGUCUUCUAAUUAGUAUAUACCUCUGGGGAACUUCUAGAUAAAAGACUUAGUUUUCUCUCCUGAAUGUGCAUGUGGAGACUAAAUGCACUUCAUGUGACUGAGGAACUCUUUGUUUCAUAAAGAUUAAGAUAAGUACGCACAAGAAAAAACAUUUAGGCAACCAGAACCUUCUGAAGAUCUCUCUCUAGAUACAGAUAGAUAGGGAUAUAGAUGUUCCAGUAGAACUUUUAGUGUUAACAAAAUGACAGCUUUUCCUCUGGGAGUUAGCUUAGGUCCAAAGCAGCUUCUCUUCAAAGUUAUAUCAUAUCUAGUAUCAGAGGUCUCCCAGUUUCUUGGGAGGGCCUUUUUGCCUUUUUAUCUUAUAAAACUUGAAUUCAUGACUGAAUCCUUUCAAGCAUACUACUGAUUUUUUGACAGGUUCCCAUCUAGUAUCAGUUUAUACUUUAUAACCUGUCAUAAGUCCCACCUGGCCUUACAUCCCACUUGGUUUUAUGGCCUGUUUAUAACAUGCUCUGACCUGUGAUAAUCACCCCCUUACCAUUUCAUGGCAUCAGGGUUGCGCAGAACUGCACUAGAAUCAUCUGAUAUCAUUUAGGAAUUUUGUCGGUAUUGUUACUUCAUCACAUGGAAUUUAGCUAUUCACUUUUGUGACCAUGGUUGUCAAGAAUUCCAAAACUGUUUCUCUCAGGAUAAUAUGAGAAAGAAGAAGGAAGUUAGGGAAACAGGUAUACCCGCUCUUUGUGACACAUGGUGGAAGCAUAUGAAAAGAUUCAUUGAUAGCAAUUUCAAAGCAGGUGAUACAGAAACUCAUAUUGUUUUUCCAUCAAGAAAUAUGCUGGAACCGGCAGAGCUUGGUAUACUAUGAAAAGCAUCCUGGAAGAGAGAAACCCACCACUGUGGUCUUCUACAUAUAUAGAAAAAAGGAAGCAGGAACAUCUAGUAAAUUCAUGACUGAAUCCUUUCGAACAUACUGAUGGAAGCAUCCUGACAGAGAAAAUGAGCUUUUAAAAAAGGGUCAAAUCUGGUUAGCUCAGUCAGUAGUAUCUGUUUUUCUGUCGAUUUAUCUCAGAUCUGCAGAGCCAACUUCUUGUUCACCUGUUGAAAGGGAAAAGGGGAUGAAUGUCUAAGGCCACCCACGUUUGUGUCCUUGCAUGUGUGCAUCUUCCAAAUUCUCCAUAAUCCUCAUGUAUCAUUUUCUUAAUAAGAAAAUAUAAUGAUUUUUGUUUUUAAAAGGCACAUUAAAUCUUGUAUAAUACUUUUUGUUCUUCGGAUCCUUUUCACAAAUGCAUCAUCUCAUUUUAUCCUUAGAACAACCUUUUAAAAGUAGCCUUAAACAAGUCUUAUCCUGAUUCAUAGAUGAGUAAAGUAAAAGAAUUAAAGUGGCUCGAAGUCAGUCAGUUCUUCAGAGUCAGCCCUGGAAGCUGAACCUAAGCCUACUAAAUUAAAAUCGUAUGUGUAUGUGUAUGUGUGUCCUACAUUUUCCUUGGAAAUCUUCGUUCUGAUUAUGAGAAUUACUAGUAUUCUGUUUUCCUUUAGAUUUUGUAGAUGAGGAGAUAUGAAGUUUAAGGUGUGUGUGUCUGUGUGUGUGUGUAACUAUACCACAAUUCCUUAUAUUUACAUUUGAUUCUGGCAAAAAGUCAGAGAAAGAAAACUCCUUAACAUUAGAAUAUUGAGUCUAUAGAGUCUAAAGUCACCCAUUUGAGUAUGGAAGAAAAACAAGAAUCAUACUGACUGCUUCCGAGGGGACCCGGGAAUCAAAUGGUCAAUGGAGUGUAGCUGUCAUCAAGACCAGUUUAACUUCUCUUUUUAUUUUAUUGUCACAUUUACAGAUUUAGAGUGUUCAGAGCCAUGAGUAAACACAUUAUGCAACAGUAAGUAAUUAAGUGCAUAGUGACUAUAGUAGCAUUUUAUGUUAACUGCAUCCUUAAAAUAAAUGUUACCAUAUCCCAGCUUUUCUUGGGAAUAAUUUCAGUGAUUUCAAUUAGCUUUUUUCAGUAAUUUCUCACGAUACACCUCAAAUGGUGGAAUGGAAAAAACAGAGCAAGAACCAGUGGACAUCAGCUUGACUACACCCCUGAGCUUUCUGGUUGUAAGAAGAGGGAGAGCCAGUACUUUACCCCUGUCAUUUCUAUGAUGUGGGGUCUUUAAAAUGAUCAAAUGAGACAACAUUGGUGAAUAUGCUAAUCCAAAAGGAUGAACCAUUUCCUUUACAAGGAAAAUUAAAAUACAGAUUGGAAACAAAAGGAUCUAUGAGAAAAAAAGUCAUUAAAAUUAAAAGCGAGUUUAGUAAGGAUUUAAAGAAAUUUAAUGAUGUAAUAUAAAAACUAAAUUAAAGCAUCUAAAAGUAAACAAGAUUUGAAAAGACCCUUAACUCGGUUAUUGGGAGUGUAAAAUUACAUCCAAGCAAAAAUGCUAAGAGCAAAGUUAAUUGAAAAGGGGGAAGGUGCUUAAACAGAAAAAGCUAGACACCAGUGAUAAAACAUAUCCAAACAACAGCAAAAAUAAGCAUUUCAGAAGGAAAGUCUAUACCAAAAAACAUUAUAGUUAAAGUACAAAGGCAAUUGUUUUUGUUCUUUCAUUUAUCUAACAAUACUGACUAAAAGUAGUUGUGACAAGAGUGAGUGAAAGCUAUCUGCUUGCUCUCAUGGAAUUUACUUUAUAAGAGAUAGGAAACAGAUAUUAAACUAAUAAUAAGACAUAUGCAUAGCUAAACACAUGUACAUAAAAUAUAUGCAUCUGGCACUGCUUUUGUGCCACUUCAAACACCCCCAUGUUCCCUCUUAGUGACCAACUGGGAGAAGAUUGGUACCAGUUGCUCUUAGGUGCAUACCCGCAGCACAUCGCACUUGCACAUGCACAAGCCCAGUGCAGGGCA